CGUCCACCUCGGCCUCCCAAAGUGCUGGAAUUACAGCCAUCAAACUUUGGAUGUACAUGCAGCUGGAGCCUUGGACAAUGGCCCCUUCUCCCAGGGACCCUUAGAUAGGCCUCUGAGGGGACUCUGAGUGCUGUUUUCCCAAAACUGCCCCUGACAGAUGGAAGCAGUAUCCUUAUUCUAAUGGCAGUUAGAUGUGCUUCUUUAGAGGGAGGAAUGAGGUAGCUGAGUAUAAAGGGGUCAUCAGAGAACCUCCAAGUGGCCUGCACAAUGGGAGAAGUGUGCACUGGGGUGGAGCCCCGGGAAGUUCGCUGUGUUUAUAGUGGGGAGCCUGGCCCCUUUCCUUCCUGGGUGGAACCUGGAAUUCAAUCUGUGAGGCAGGAAGCCGAUGCUAGCAUGACUCUCACACUGCUGAGGGUCCCUGGUUCCCCUUUAUCCUUUUUGCUUAAUAAAUUCCACUUUUCUCAUCCUU